AAUAAGUUAAUAUCAAUCUUCUAAAUUGAUUUGAGGGUAACCUGCUUAUUU
rnacentral:tRNA from 1 species